rnacentral:misc_RNA from 1 species
GACAGAAGGUGCAAGCGUUACUCGGAAUUACUGGGCGUAAAGCGUCUGUAGGCGAUUUCCCACGUCUGGUAUGAAAUCUCGGAGCUCAACUCCGAACCCGUGCCGGAAACGAGGAAAAUUGAGUCAUUCAGAGGCAUCUGGAAUGUCGUGUGUAGGGGUAAAAUCCGUAGAUACACGAUGGAACGCCAAAAGCGAAGGCAGGAUGCUAGGGAUGUACUGACGCUGAGAGACGAAAGCGUGGGGAGCAAACAGG